CAGCUCCAUGUUGUGCCAGUGCUUGGCGUCGUGCAGCGAGUUCUCCAGGCCUCGUUUCUGCAAGAGAGCCAACUUGUUCACCCCAGGGCCCAUGGCUGGCCCUCCAGGGAGAGGUGGGCAGAGCGGGGUCUGCAGUUUAUGACAACGACGACCUCGUCUUUGCUUACAUAUACUGGAAAUUGCUUCAUUUGUGAGUAGUUGUUGAUGUUGGACUUAUAACACUUGUGAUUUGGAAACACUUCAUAGAAUUAUGGUUGGAUCUUCCGUCUAUGGCUUUUGCUCCAUAUUUGAGAUCCUUUCCUCAUGCCCCCUUGCACUGCCCCAGAGCCUAUCAUCAGCCUCAGUGAACUCCAGAUCUCAGCUGGACAAGCAUCACACCAACCAACUCUUUCACACACUCUGCUGUGCACCAACAAUGCUUGUGGUUAGAAUGGUAGAAGUGACCUCCUUGGAGGAGACCCUAGAAGGAGUAGUGCCUCAUAUCUACCUAACAGACUUUUAGUCCAUGCCAGAGAACAGAGGGUGGAUGGCUGUAUAAUCAUAUAGUUGUCCCUUGGUGUCUGUGGAGGAUCAGCUUCAGAAACCUAUGGGUACCCAAACCUGGAUGCCCAAGUCCCUUACAGAAAAGGGUGUAGUAUUUGCAUAUAACCUAUGCAAUACUCCUGUAGAGCUCUUAUAAAUCUCUUUAAACUCUCUCUAGAGUGUGGAUACCCAAUACAAUGUAAAUGCUACAUAAACAGUUGUAUUUUUAGGGGAUAACAAUAA